GAUGAACGCUGGCGGCGUGCCUAAUACAUGCAAGUCGAGCGAACAGACGAGGAGCUUGCUCCUCUGACGUUAGCGGCGGACGGGUGAGUAACACGUGGAUAACCUACCUAUAAGACUGGGAUAACUUCGGGAAACCGGAGCUAAUACCGGAUAAUAUAUUGAACCGCAUGGUUCAAUAGUGAAAGACGGUUUUGCUGUCACUUAUAGAUGGAUCCGCGCCGCAUUAGCUAGUUGGUAAGGUAACGGCUUACCAAGGCAACGAUGCGUAGCCGACCUGAGAGGGUGGUCGGCCCCACUGGAACUGGGACACGGCCCAGACUCCUACGGGAGGCAGCAGUAGGGAAUCUUCCGCAAUGGGCGAAAGCCUGACGGAGCAACGCCGCGUGAGUUAUGAAGGUCUUCGGAUCGUAAAACUCUGUUAUUAGGGAAGAACAAAUGUGUAAGUAACUAUGCACGUCUUGACGGUACCUAAUCAGAAAGCCACGGCUAACUACGUG
rnacentral:rRNA from 1 species